rnacentral:sRNA from 1 species
CCGAGUUUUCAACUCCCAAACCCUUAUGUGAACCUACCUAUCGUUGCUUCGGCGGACUCGCCCCAGCCGGACGCGGACUGGACCAGCGGCCCGCCGGAGGACCAUCAAACUCUUGUAUUAAUCAGCAUAGUGGCAUAUUCUGAGUCUCACAAGAAAAAUGAAU